UACGGAGGAUCCAAGCGUUAUCCGGAAUCAUUGGGUUUAAAGGGUCCGUAGGCGGUUUUGUAAGUCAGCGGUGAAAGCCCAUCGCUCAACGGUGGAACGGCCAUUGAUACUGCAAGACUUGAAUUAUUAGGAAGUAACUAGAAUAUGUAGUGUAGCGGUGAAAUGCUUAGAUAUUACAUGGAAUACCAAUUGCGAAGGCAGGUUACUACUAAUGGAUUGACGCUGAUGGACGAAAGCGUGGGGAGCGAACAGG
rnacentral:rRNA from 1 species